rnacentral:lncRNA from 1 species
GCAAACGAUGGAUUACAUAUGGAUUGGGUCUUAUUUGCAUCUGAUCCGUAAAAAUAUGAAUUGGAUUUCGAUUCAGUUUCAGUAAUCAGUGGAUUUAAAUACAUAAGAUGGUCUCUGUUUAAAGAAACAUGAAAAACUUAGUCUUGUGUAUGGUUUUGUCCAAAUCACAGCUGCUUUGUAGUUUUGAGCAGCAUAGUAGCAGAAUGAAGAUUUCUAGCUUCAGAUCGUCAGAAUUCUUUUCAUCAACCAGUCCCAGAUGAGGUUAACAAUGCCCUGCCUCUCUCAGCUAGCUUCAGGCUCUUACUAAAUUGGUGUGCACUCUGACAAAAUAAAUAAGAAGAACACGAUCCAAAUCUUGUGUUAGUUUCUAUAUGCCUUGAUCUAAUAAAUCAAGCACAAGAAUACUGCAGUUCAAAUGCUGGUUAGUGUUAGCUCCAACAGUUUUUGCAUUUCAGAAUCAUACUAUUUACCAAUGCAAAAAUGAUAAGCAGGAGGACAUGUUUUUCUCAAUUACUGAAGUACACAUAACAAACUAUUUUCAGCACAAAAUACAAUCUUCCAUUUAAACAGUAUAGGGGGCAUUGAAUGACUUGAAGUUUCAUAUAAAGGCUGGAUUUUUUUAUUUUAGCAAGAAGAGUGUCAAACCUGUGUUCAAGAUUGAAGAGAUUGAAUAUCCCUAUGAUUCACCAUUUGUUAACAAAUGGCAGAAAAGUGAAAAUGGCAAAAAAGUGAAGUUUCAUAUAAAGGCUGGAUUUUGUUAUUUUAGCAAGAAGAGUGUCAAACCUAUGUUCAGGAUUGAAGAGAUUGAAUAUCCCUAUGAUUCACCAUUUGUUAACAAAUGGCAGAAAAGUGAAGCCAGCAGGCCCAGCACACACCCAUUCGAAAUUGAAAAAUGCAAAUCAUUGUUCCUUACAUCAAUAUGAUAGAAUGUUUGGAGCUUAAAUCAUUAAAAAUCAAAUGAUUACAAACGGAGGAUUAUUCUAAAAAGUAUUUUAGAACCAAGAAAAUUGCAAACAUAGCUAGCAAGUAUAUAGCUACAAAAAGGUAUUCCACUUCAGGUUAAUAAUGAUUGCAGGCGAGAAGUUUUAGGAUAAAUAGUAAGUUCAUUGCAAAGAACCAAAAAAAAUGGGGAGCCGAAUCUCCAGUCUAGGAAAAUAUACAUGGGAGCAUUAAAAAAUGACAAUAAGAGUUAAUAUCUAAACUAUAACUUACCAAUAAACUCUAAAGAUCCCUGAAAAUGUAGAGCAAGAUAAACUGCAUACCACUAAAACAGAUCUACAAGAUCCACACUUGAUACUAGAUGCAUAUCUAAACCCUCAAAAAUCCACAAUUCUUAUCAAGCCAUGCACGCAGAGGCACAUUUGAACUAUCAUCCACACAAGAAAAUCAAACCUCUUCCUUCAAUUCUCAUCCGAUUUGAAUACAAGUCCGUCCACGUUUGUAUGACCCAACAAAUAUCCAAAACAGAAAGAAAAUGAAGAAGAAAAAGAAGCAUAGACCUUCAACACAAUUGGAUUGAGAAGAUGACGAGAAAUGAUGUACAAAAUCAAUGGUUUCCCCAUCAUGUUUCAAAUAUAACGCAGAGUAAUCACAAAUUGCUUACUCUUUACUAAAAGGAAACUCUAAAACAGUUCCAAGAAAAAAUUGUAGUUCCACUCUUACUUAAAGAUAUGAAUAAAGAAUUGAACUCAAACUAGGUUGCUCCUGAAGGUUUUCAACUAAAACUUUCCUCUGACUCAAAGUCAUGCGAAAGGAUAUUCCCUUCCCCUCUGUGAAACUUCAGUUUAAUGCUUUCAAUUAGAUCUUCAUACUCCAAAGGGUAGCUGUUAUACAGAAUUAGAUCAAUUAAAUAUUUGCCAAUAUCUCACUACUCCCACAUCCAUAUAGGCCCAACAGUGCACAACACUACAACAUUUUACUCACUAUGCUCAUAAACCAUCAACAAAACCUCAAAAUAACAGUAGGUUCUUUUAUACAAAAUGGUUGACCUAGACAUCACUGUCAUGAUUUUUGCCAGUGAACUGCCAAAGGUACCAGAAAUUACCUUAUUCAAUAAUGACAUAUUCAAACAAACCAGUCACAAGGAUAUGAGAUGGAGGAAAUAUGAAACUUGACAGCACUACAACAUUUCACCUACUAUGUUAAAAAAAUCCUGCCUUUUCAUGCCUAUACACUAAUUAUUAAUCUGAUGUCUAUUGAUUCACAUAUAUUUCUCUAUCAAAAUCUAAAUCACCUGAUGAAGGUUUCCUUCUAUCAGUUGCAUAAUUACUAACAUAUCAAUUUUCAUAACAUAACAUAUUCCCAAUUUCUACUUCUUCCUCCCAAUUUCUAUUUUACAACCAAACCUAACAUUCUAUGCCUAUUUUUACUUGUUCAUGCGUACCCAAUCAAUUACCGUCUACUAUUUAUACACAUGGACUCAAAUUAAGAGCCACAUAUAAAUAUUCACAGUCAAUACAUACCUCAAUGUCGUAUUAAGGCUCCCGCAGACAACUGAUUGCUACGAAAUUGCGAGCAAAUAUGACCUCCAAAUAUAACUCUCCACAGAAUUCGCUACAGUUUAUCUCUGCUCACUUCACUCCAGCACCACUCAAAUGGUUGUAUUUUAACCUACAUGACAGCAAAUGACGACAACUUCUAACCUAACGGCGUAACUUAUUCAUCAAUUAAAUCCCCAGUUUGCGCCACAAUACCCGUAAUCU